rnacentral:lncRNA from 1 species
CGACACACGUCUGGAAGAUGUCAUACAGAUGCAUUGGCAUAUCCUAUACAGUACUUUUCCCAGAUGAUGGUACCUUCAGGAUGGCAUGAUUAUCCCUACGAUUUCUAUUUUUUAUGAUAAGUAUCCUCUCCGUUUCCUGUACUCCGUAUCUGCGAGAUUCCCGCCCAGCGCAUUUAUCGAUACGAUUGAUUUCGGCGCGGCGAAAAUGAAGAGAGGCGCGCCUGCGCUGGCCAUGACGUCAAGAAGGCGGCGCGUAGUGGAGACGCCAGUUUGUCGGUGUUGUGUGACCUUGUUUGGGAGGUAUCAUCUUUGGAUACGAUGCUAAUCGCCACUCUAGGUGAGUAUUUUGUUUUCAUCGGUGGGAGAACCUUCAAGAUUCAAUACAUUCUUCGUUCCACUUAGUUCCGUAUGGUGGUCCUUUCUUAAACGUUUAGCCCUUACAGUUUGGACUCGCUACCGUUCGUACAUCGAAAUCUCCCCCCCUUCAGUUGGUUUAUCAGACGACUUUCUGCACGUGGAAGUAAAUGACGUCACUUACUGGGAUUUUCCCUUUCUUCCCUACAUGUUGGAUGACGGACUGACAUUUUAAUUACUCAUCCGUAGUGGUGUGGAAGUUUGGUGGCAAUGACCAAAAUGUACACUUUGAUAAUUGAUAUUCAUCCUUACUUGUCACUAGCCAAAAACACUUUUAAGUGUUUUGUUCCAAUAUAAGUUUACGAAGCGAAUAUUUUAUUUUUUAAAGUUUGGUUUGUUAAUAACGUUAUGAAAAAAAAUAUUGGUUCAUAGU